GACGAACGCUGGCGGCGUGCUUAACACAUGCAAGUCGAGCGGUAAGGCCCUUUCGGGGGUACGACGAGCGGCGAACGGGUGAGUAACACGUGGGUGACCUGCCUCUAGCUCUGGGAUAAGCCUGGGAAGCUGGGUCCAAUACCGGAUAUGACCUCGCGGUGCAUGUUGCGGGGUGGAAAGCCUUGUGCGGCUAGGGAUGGGCCCGCGGCCUAUCAGCUUGUUGGUGGGGUGANGGCCUACCAAGGCGACGACGGGUAGCCGGCCUGAGAGGGCGACCGGCCACACUGGGACUGAGACACGGCCCAGACUCCUACGGGAGGGCAGCAGUGGGGAAUCUUGCGCAAUGGGCGAAAGCCUGACGCAGCGACGCCGCGUGAGGGAUGACGGCCU
rnacentral:rRNA from 1 species